GACGGACGCUCCAGCCGUAACAAUGAUCGGGGACAUCCUGCUCUUUGGGACGCUGUUGAUGAACGCCGGGGCGGUGCUCAACUUCAAGCUCCCCGCACCUGGCUCCCUCGAACCACUCUCUCCACCCCGUCGGUGGCUGCAGGCAUGACUGUGAUUGGCUGGGCAAGGGGUGGCCCAGGGAACAUCACUGAACCGCGCAAAAGAGGUCACACAGCAAACCAACGGAAAAAGAAGGACACGCAAGGCUUUGGGGAGGAGUCGAGGGAGCCCAGCACAGGUGACAACAUCCGGGAGUUCUUGCUGAGCCUCAGAUAUUUUCGAAUCUUCAUCGCCCUAUGGAAUGUCUUCAUGAUGUUCUGCAUGAUCGUGCUCUUUGGCUCCUGAGCUCCAGAUACAGAACCAGAAACCUUCUCAGAGUGUCUCUUCCUCCAUUCCUGACGACUUCAAGAAUGUUUCUGCCCAGAAAACCGGUGACCUUCCCAGAAAGUCCAAGCUUGUGGUGGGUGGAAAAAAUGUUCGCCAAGAUGAGCACAGUUUCCCAGCCACGUCACUGUUUUCUUUUCAAAGAUAUUUUCACUUUGAUCUCUGCCUUGAAAUGCUGUCUACUUAAAAGAGUUUGAAGGGUGUUUAUGUGAGGGGCUGUGGUAUCUACAUUGUUUAAUCAGAUCAGAAUCCUUCUUCUACCAAACUUUCACUGGAAACCCAUUUCUGGGUAUUUCUUGGUUUGUUUUUAAUAACCAUCCUUUUUUGGUUCAAAUUAUACAGAUUUUUAAAAAUCUUUUUUAUCCAGGGAUCUGAAGCAGAAAGGUUGGCUUUUAAGUUUGAUGCACCCUCUUAUUGGACUGCAUUUGUGAGGAAUGAACAAGUUCAUAGUUGCUGCGUCUGUGUCCAAAUUCCUUCCCCAUCCCAAUGGGCUCUGCUUGGCCACUCCAUGCUGCUGAGGUUGUCCCCAGGGCUUGAAGGGUGAAGUGUUAUGGGUUCCUGUGGAAGAGAGGUGCAGAGCAGUUGGCAGGGUGGAUGGGGGUUUUAUGAGAAACUUUGCCUUGCCUUGAAGCCCUCUAUUAAAGUAACUUUUGGGGCCAUUAAUUGUAUAGUUUCUAGAAUGAGAGUGAUUUAUGUGGUGAUAUUGGGACUCAGUUCUGAAAGCUUGGGUUUUGGGGUCUGCUUUUCAAGUGGAUGAUUUCAAGGUUGAAAAACAAGCCUCAUUGGAGGAAA